rnacentral:rRNA from 1 species
UAACGUUGACCCGUAAUCCGGGUUGCGGACAGUGUCUGGUGGGUAGUUUGACUGGGGCGGUCUCCUCCUAAAGAGUAACGGAGGAGCACGAAGGUUGGCUAAUCCUGGUCGGACAUCAGGAGGUUAGUGCAAUGGCAUAAGCCAGCUUGACUGCGAGCGUGACGGCGCGAGCAGGUGCGAAAGCAGGUCAUAGUGAUCCGGUGGUUCUGAAUGGAAGGGCCAUCGCUCAACGGAUAAAAGGUACUCCGGGGAUAACAGGCUGAUACCGCCCAAGAGUUCAUAUCGACGGCGGUGUUUGGCACCUCGAUGUCGGCUCAUCACAUCCUGGGGCUGAAGUAGGUCCCAAGGGUAUGGCUGUUCGCCAUUUAAAGUGGUACGCGAGCUGGGUUUAGAACGUCGUGAGACAGUUCGGUCCCUAUCUGCCGUGGGCGCUGGAGAACUGAGGGGGGCUGCUCCUAGUACGAGAGGACCGGAGUGGACGCAUCACUGGUGUUCGGGUUGUCAUGCCAAUGGCACUGCCCGGUAGCUAAAUGCGGAAGAGAUAAGUGCUGAAAGCAUCUAAGCACGAAACUUGCCCCGAGAUGAGUUCUCCCUGACUCCUUGAGAGUCCUGAAGGAACGUUGAAGACGACGACGUUGAUAGGCCGGGUGUGUAAGCGCAGCGAUGCGUUGAGCUAACCGGUACUAAUGAACCGUGAGGCUUAACCUU